UGGGGAAUAUUGCACAAUGGGCGCAAGCCUGAUGCAGCCAUGCCGCGUGUAUGAAGAAGGCCUUCGGGUUGUAAAGUACUUUCAGCGGGGAGGAAGGCGAUAAGGUUAAUAACCUUGUCGAUUGACGUUACCCGCAGAAGAAGCACCGGCUAACUCCGUGCCAGCAGCCGCGGUAAUACAGAGGGUGCAAGCGUUAAUCGGAAUUACUGGGCGUAAAGCGCACGCAGGCGGUCUGUCAAGUCGGAUGUGAAAUCCCCGGGCUCAACCUGGGAACUGCAUUCGAAACUGGCAGGCUAGAGUCUUGUAGAGGGGGGUAGAAUUCCAGGUGUAGCGGUGAAAUGCGUAGAGAUCUGGAGGAAUACCGGUGGCGAAGGCGGCCCCCUGGACAAAGACUGACGCUCAGGUGCGAAAGCGUGGGGAGCAAACA
rnacentral:rRNA from 1 species